AGAGUUUGAUCAUGGCUCAGGACGAACGCUGGCGGCGUGCCUAAUACAUGCAAGUCGAGCGAGCUUGCCUAGAUGAUUUUAGUGCUUGCACUAAAUGAAACUAGAUACAAGCGAGCGGCGGACGGGUGAGUAACACGUGGGUAACCUGCCCAAGAGACUGGGAUAACACCUGGAAACAGAUGCUAAUACCGGAUAACAACACUAGACGCAUGUCUAGAGUUUGAAAGAUGGUUCUGCUAUCACUCUUGGAUGGACCUGCGGUGCAUUAGCUAGUUGGUAAGGUAACGGCUUACCAAGGCAAUGAUGCAUAGCCGAGUUGAGAGACUGAUCGGCCACAUUGGGACUGAGACACGGCCCAAACUCCUACGGGAGGCAGCAGUAGGGAAUCUUCCACAAUGGACGAAAGUCUGAUGGAGCAACGCCGCGUGAGUGAAGAAGAGUUUCGGCUCGUAAAGCUCUGUUGGUAGUGAAGAAAGAUAGAGGUAGUAACUGGCCUUUAUUUGACGGUAAUUACUUAGAAAGUCACGGCUAACUACGUGCCAGCAGCCGCGGUAAUACGUAGGUGGCAAGCGUUGUCCGGAUUUAUUGGGCGUAAAGCGAGUGCAGGCGGUUCAAUAAGUCUGAUGUGAAAGCCUUCGGCUCAACCGGAGAAUUGCAUCAGAAACUGUUGAACUUGAGUGCAGAAGAGGAGAGUGGAACUCCAUGUGUAGCGGUGGAAUGCGUAGAUAUAUGGAAGAACACCAGUGGCGAAGGCGGCUCUCUGGUCUGCAACUGACGCUGAGGCUCGAAAGCAUGGGUAGCGAACAGGAUUAGAUACCCUGGUAGUCCAUGCCGUAAACGAUGAGUGCUAAGUGUUGGGAGGUUUCCGCCUCUCAGUGCUGCAGCU
rnacentral:rRNA from 1 species